GUUGCACUCCUUUUUGCGUCCCGAGAUACGAAACAUCUCCCGUAGACCUCCGAGACGAUUGUUUUGGGGCUCGGAAUUUGCCGUGACCGCUACGCUGUCAGUAUCAUGGGGCUCGGUGAGAGCUUUCCGGAUUUGGGUCACAAUAGCGAUUCCGAGAUCGUUCUAGAAAGUGCCGAUGGUUUCGACGCGCGCUUGCCGUGACCGAUACGCAGUCGUUGGGCUAGGGCUCGGAGAGAGCUUGCAAUAGGGAUUUCAUGAACGUUCGAGACAGCGCUGACGGUUUCUUGAUGGGCAAGAGGCUCCGUACGCUGAUGCGCCAGCCGCGACGUGCACAUAGGCGAGGGACGAAGCACGCGAAACGGGUGUGAUAAUGCCAGCACUAAAGCACCGGAUCCCAACAGAACUCCGAAGUUAAGCGCCGACUUUGGAGAGAGUAGUACUACGAUGGGUGAACCCCUGGGAAGUCCUCUUGUUGCACUCUUUUUUGCGUCCUAAGAUACGAAACAUCUCCCGUAGACCUCCGAGACGAUUGUUUUGGGGCUUGGAAUUUGCCGUGACCGCUACGCUGUCAGUAUCGUGGGGCUCGGAGAGAGCUUUCCGGAUUGGGGUCACAUUAGCGAUUCCGAGAUCGUUCUAGAAAGUGCCGAUGGUUUCGACGCGCGCUUGCCGUGACCGAUACGCAGUCGUUGGGCUAGGGCUCGGAGAGAGCUUGAAAUAGGGAUUUCGUGAACGUUCGAGAAAGUGCCGACGGAUUCGUGACGGGCAAGAGGCUCCGGACGAUGAUGCGCCGGCCGCGAAUUGCACAUAGGCGAGGGACGAGGCACGCAAAACGGGUGUGAUAAUGCCAGUACUAACGGAUCCCAACAGAACUCCGAAGUUAAGCGCUGACUUUGGAGAGAGUAGUACUAGGAUGGGAGACCCCCUGGGAAGUCCUCAUGUUUCACUCCGUUUUGCGUCCCGAGAUACGAAACAUCUCCCGUAGACCUCCGAGACGAUUGUUUUGGGGCUCGGAAUUUACCGUGACAGCUACGCUGUCAGUAUCGUGGGGCUCGGAGAGAGCUUUCCGGAUUGGGGUUGCAAUAGCGAUUCCGAGAUCGUUCUAAAAAGUGUCGAUGGUUUCGACGCGCGCUUGCCAUGACCGAUACGCAGUCGUUGGGCUAGGGCUCGGAGAGAGCUUGCAAUAGGGAUUUCGUGAACGUUCGAGAAAGCGCCUACGGUUUCGUGACGGGCAAGAGGCUCCGGACGUUGAUGCGCCGGCCGCGACGUGCACAUCGGUAAGGGACGAACGAAGCACGCGAAAAGGGUACGAUAAUGCCAGCACUAAAGCACCGGAUCCCCUCAGAACUCCGAUGUUAAGCGUGAUUUAGAGAGAGUUGUACUAGGAUGGGUGACCCCUUGGGAAGUCCUCGUGUUUCACUCCUUUUUGCGUCCCGAGAUACGAAACAUCUCCCGUAGACCUCCGAGACGAUUGUUUUGGGGCUCGGAAUUUGCCGUGACCGCUACGCUGUCAGUAUCGUGGGGCUCGGAGAGAGCUUUCCGGAUUGGGGUCACAAUAGCGAUUCCGAGAUCGUUCUAGAAAGUUCCGAUAGUUUCGACGCGCGCUUGCCGUGACCGAUACGCAGUCGUUGGGCUAGGGCUCGGAGAGAGCUUGCAAUAGGGAUUACGUGAACGUUCGAGAAAGCGCCGACGGUUUCGUGACGGGCGUGAGGCUCCGGACGUUGAUGCGCCGGCCGCGACGUGCACAUCGGCGAGGGACGAAGCACGCGAAAAGGGUGCGAUAAUGCCAGCACUAAAGCACCGG
rnacentral:lncRNA from 1 species